rnacentral:misc_RNA from 1 species
CCUAGAGUUGUAGGCUUUGCCUGCUAUCUCUUACCCAUGUCUUUUGAGUACCUUCGUUUCCUCGGCGGGUUCGCCCGCCGAUUGGACAAUUUAAACCAUUUGCAGUUGCAAUCAGCGUCUGGAAAAACAUAAUAGUUA